UACGUAGGGGGCAAGCGUUGUCCGGAUUUAUUGGGCGUAAAGAGCUCGUAGGUGGUUCGGUAAGUCGGAUGUGAAAUCUCCAGGCUCAACCUGGAGGGGUCAUUCGAUACUGCCGUGACUAGAGUUCGGUAGGGGAGUGUGGAAUUCCUGGUGGAGCGGUGAAAUGCGUAGAGAUCGGAAAGAACACCAACGGCGAAAGCACUCUGCUGGGCCGACACUGACACUGAGAGACGAAAGCUAGGGGAGCGAAUGGG
rnacentral:rRNA from 1 species